CAAAACCUGGAAAUUCUACUUUUCAUUUUGUAAAAAAAGAAAAACAAUUCUACAAAGUUUUGUUAGGCGUGUGACAGAUCAUUUUUCGCUCUCUCUGAUGUAACAAAUGGAAAGUUCUCUUAACGUCAGCAUACCUGUUUUCAUUGGCACAGACUGAGGCCUAUCAGAGGAGGAGACUUGGCUGAUUUCCACAUUGAAAUUCUACCUUCUGUACAAGCACUGUGGGAGUGGCGUUGAGGCAAAGAUAAUCUGGCAAAUGAUCAAGAAUCUCAAGUGUCAACAAACCAGAUUUUUCUUAGUUGAGCAGAGCUGAUGGCAGUGAAACACUGAAGACAUUUCUGAUUUCGCUUUGUGAUGUCAGAGGAGAAGCUGAAGUCCAGACAACACCAGAGGGUUUUCUGGCCGUGCCAAAAUGAGGCCCUGUGAUGGAUGGCAUCUUGGAAGCAUCACAGAUCAGCACAUACCAGAGACUGGAGCGACCAGCUGCUCUAGUUUCACAGAGCGCCUCAUCAGUGCAGACUUCAGCCAUCACCACAAACCUACAAAUGAUGACCUGCAGAUGGAUGCGGUGGAGUUUUCCACGAUUCUUUAUCUGCUGAUGAAUCACAACCUAGACCUGAUAAACUUUAACUUGGAGAAUAAAAUCGUCAACCCACUGUCCUCCUUUACGACCUUCAUCUAUGAGGUGUUACUUCUUUCCUGGCAGCUCCAUCUUCAGCAUGCUUUGAAAUGCUUGCGUGAGAACCAACAGUAAAGGGCUGGACGUAAAAUUCUAGACUCCACCCUCAGCAUUAAAGUCAUGACAUUAUCAGCUGGAGAAUAGUCACGAAUCCUAGAAAGGUGUUCCCUCGAUGGAAAACCUUGGAUCCAAAAUGAAGUUAUUGGACCACAAUUCUUCCAACUAACCUGCCUUGAAGUCAUGUUAAUGAUUCAAAGCUCUUCAAACUUUGAAGAUCAUUAUUUAAAUCACGUCAGAAAGUGAGGACUGCUGUUGAACCUUAUUUUCCAAGGUGCCUUCAGAGCAGAUGGAUUGAUUUAGCACAGGUUUUAUGCUGGACCACAACCCAAACUCAGCUGAAACAGUUCAAAUUUAACUGUGGGAUUCUCUCUUCUGCAUAUGUCUUUAGGUGUAAGUCAUUGCUACACCUUACAGUACGAAUGGCAUCCUGGUGUGUUAUGUAGCAUUGUAUAGUCUCAACAUUAAAGCUUUUUAAGGGUCUGUACAGAUACAACUGGAAUCAAGUGUAGGUAACUUCUAGUUUGCUAAAGCCCCCAUGUUAACAAUUUGUAUUGUAGUUAUGACUUCUGUCACAUAUGUAAAGAGCAACAGAGACAGAGUGUGCCGGUGAAAAUCUGGGACAUCUCUUCCCCGAAAAGCACCAGCUGUGCUUGUAGUCGACUGGUUUUGUCUUCACUUUACACUUUUGCUCAUGUUAACAGAUUCCACAAACAUUUAAACAAUCCUGGGGGGCGGGGGUGGGUUAUUUCCAUUAACAGCCGGCUGCUGUUGGUUUUCUCAAAAACAAGGGACUUUGUUGGGGAUGACUUUCAGUGGUCGAAUAAUCCGCAUUUUUUGCCAGAGAAAAACCUGUUUUUGUUUAUACUUCAUUUGGAAUUAAUUUCCAAUAAGAAAAAUGUUUCCUUCCAUAUUUUUACCUUUUUGUUUCACUGAUGUGAUUAUUUUUCUUCAUUAAGUUUUUCCAGUGAAAAAUAUCCAUUAACUUAUACACACACACGAUACCGGUGUUUGCUUACCACAGGAGUGCACAAAGCAAGUUUGGCAUAGCCAGUGUGAUAGGUGGCUCAAAAUAAGCUAAAACCGUUUAGUUCUAAAAUGUAAAAAGUUGAACUAAUAGACGCUUUCAGCUGCUCCUCUAUUUCCACAGAAGUCCCAAAACAGAUGGAUCCACAUCACUUGGCACAGAAUUUAUGAUGCAACCUCCCAUUUGUCUGAGCUUAAAGUCCACAAACCUGGCCUAAUGUUUCGUUCACUAUGACCUGAAAUUAGCAAAUCAGCCCAUGAACUCACCAGGAAACAAUUUAAAGAGGUCCAGGCAGACAGAUAUUUACACAGGAGCUUAAAUCUUUUUUGCAACCAUAACUAUCGCCCCCUGGUGGCCAGCGAGAAAAAAAAUAUAGGUUUAGGGCACUUUGUAUUGGCUUCACCUUUCAGACCUGGAGUUUGAAAAGAGACUAAAGAGGACAUUUGAAACACCAGCUGAGUCUCCAUCAGCACAUAAAGAAACUAUUGAUUGUCCCCACUUCAGUCAGAGACGUCACAGAGAAGCAUGCAGUGAAAGGAAACACUGCAAAUACCUGAACUCUGUUACUCACAUCAAUUCAGGUGUUAAUCUAUUUGUUUUGUGAAAUUACAUACAAUUCCUUAUGAUCUUGGGGGAUAAAAAUCCUACAAGUAAUAUUUUUUUCUCAUUUGUGCUCUGUUAGCUGAAAUUCCAGCAAUAAACACAUUUAGCAGCUAAUCAGCAGUAAUGAAAAGAUGAAAGUGUUGCACUCGACAUUAAUGUGGCCUUGUGGCACACCCGUCUGCUGCCAUCAUCUUUACAUCAUCAAACACUUCAAAACUAAUGCUGGGCACAAAAUUUCAACUGUGGAAAUCUAACGUGCAGAUUUUGUAUCUGGAAAAGUAUCGACUGAACUGAAGAAAUCAUCGACGGUGGGACUGAGUAUGUGUGCUGUACAUCACAAUGUUUUGUUCAAUUUUGUUAACACCAGUGAGGUUUUUCUUGUGGUAGUGUUUUUUUAAAAACUUUUAACUCUUUCUCUCAUUAAGUUGAAAUUUGUAAUUUUUUUAAACCUGAGUAAGCUAUGAGAGCAGUUGUAUGAGCUGUAGUUUAUGUUUUCUGUUAUUCAACUGAAUGAAACAGCAUAAAGAGUUUUUGAAUAAAGUGAGACAUGUUUUCAACAGUA